UACAGAGGUCUCAAGCGUUGUUCGGAUUCAUUGGGCGUAAAGGGUGUGUAGGUGGCGCGCUAAGUCGGGUGUGAAAUUUCGGAGCUUAACUCCGAAACUGCAUUCGAUACUGGCGUGCUUGAGGACUGGAGAGGAGACUGGAAUUCUCGGUGUAGCGGUGAAAUGCGUAGAUAUCGAGAGGAACACCUGCGGCGAAGGCGGGUUGCUGGGCUGGUACUGACGCUGAGGCGCGAAAGCCAGGGGAGCGAACGGG
rnacentral:rRNA from 1 species